UACGAAGGGGGCUAGCGUUAUUCGGAAUUAUUGGGCGUAAAGGGCGUGUAGGCGGCUUCGUAAGUCUUGUGUGAAAGCCCUCGGCUCAACCGAGGAAUUGCACGAGAAACUGCGUGGCUCGAGUCCGGGAGAGGAUAGUGGAAUUCCCAGUGUAGCGGUGAAAUGCGCAGAUAUCAGGAAGAACACCCGUGGCGAAAGCGGCUCUCUGGAACGGUACUGACGCUGAGACGCGAAAGCGUGGGGAGCGAACAGG
rnacentral:rRNA from 1 species